rnacentral:ncRNA from 1 species
UAGGGAACGGCACAGCCGCAAAUCCGACUCGUCGUGAGAUUUCACGGCUCUGGGAUUGCGGACGUGC